UGGGGAAUUUUGGACAAUGGGCGAAAGCCUGAUCCAGCAAUGCCGCGUGUGUGAAGAAGGCCUUCGGGUUGUAAAGCACUUUUGUCCGGAAAGAAAUCCUUGGCUCUAAUACAGUCGGGGGAUGACGGUACCGGAAGAAUAAGCACCGGCUAACUACGUGCCAGCAGCCGCGGUAAUACGUAGGGUGCAAGCGUUAAUCGGAAUUACUGGGCGUAAAGCGUGCGCAGGCGGUUUGCUAAGACCGAUGUGAAAUCCCCGGGCUCAACCUGGGAACUGCAUUGGUGACUGGCAGGCUAGAGUAUGGCAGAGGGGGGUAGAAUUCCACGUGUAGCAGUGAAAUGCGUAGAGAUGUGGAGGAAUACCGAUGGCGAAGGCAGCCCCCUGGGCCAAUACUGACGCUCAUGCACGAAAGCGUGGGGAGCAAACAGGAUUCAGAUACCCUGGUAGUCCACGCCCUAAACGAUGUCAACUAGUUGUUGGGGUUCAUUUCCUAGUAACGUAGCUAACGCGUGAAGUUGACCGCCUGGGGAGUACGGUCG
rnacentral:rRNA from 1 species